rnacentral:rRNA from 1 species
GGGGAAUAUUGGGCAAUGGACGCAAGUCUGACCCAGCAACGCCGCGUGAAGGAAGAAGGCUUUCGGGUUGUAAACUUCUUUUAAGGGGGAAGAGUAGAAGACGGUACCCCUUGAAUAAGCCACGGCUAACUACGUGCCAGCAGCCGCGGUAAUACGUAGGUGGCAAGCGUUGUCCGGAUUUACUGGGUGUAAAGGGCGUGUAGCCGGGAAGGUAAGUCAGAUGUGAAAACCCUGAGCUUAACUUGGGGACUGCAUUUAAAACUGGUAACCUAGAGUGCAGGAGAGGUAAGCGGAAUUCCUAGUGUAGCGGUGAAAUGCGUAGAUAUUAGGAAGAACAUCAGUGGCGAAGGCGGCUUACUGGACUGUAACUGACGCUGAUGCACGAAAGCGUGGGGAGCAAAUA